CGAUAAUAAAAUACGUAUCAUAUCAUAUGCGAUUGUAGCCGUGUUCUAAAUCCUGUUAUGAUAACUAUAAAUUAUAAUUAAGUAUAGAUAUACUGUGAUUAGGUUUACUGCAGUAAUUAGUCAAAACUGGCCAGAAAAUGUUUGUUUUGGAAAAAGGUAAAAAAAAAAAAAAUAAUAUAUACCAAUAUCUGCAUACGAGUUGUAAUAUUAAUAUGUAGUUUAUACGUAAAUGUACCCACCGUGGAGCACCGUAAAUUUAAAAAAAAACCUAAUUUGGAUGUAAAAUGUCAAGUUAUUUUCUAACAAAUUUGAAUAAAAAAAUGAUUUUACACUUGAAAUAGGCACAUGAAUAUUAAUACUUUAAUACACACAAACACAUACAAGGUUAUCUAUGGUCGACAAGACACUUAUUAAAUCGGUAUUUUUAUUUUUUGGACAAUUUAUGAAACAGGCAGUUCUUAAAUGUUACGUUGCCGUUAUUAAUAAAUUGUCACGCUUAUUUUUGUGGGUGACCUUUUUUUGAUUUUCAAAUUAAAACCUAUGCUAAAAAAUCCAUACGUAAAU